rnacentral:rRNA from 1 species
UACGUAGGGCGCAAGCGUUAUCCGGAAUUAUUGGGCGUAAAGAGCUCGUAGGCGGUUUGUCGCGUCUGCCGUGAAAGUCCGAGGCUCAACCUCGGGCCUGCAGUGGGUACGGGGCAGACUAGAGUGCGGUAGGGGGAGAUUGGAAUUCCUGGUGUAGCGGUGGAAUGCGCAGAUAUCAGGAGGAACACCAAUGGCGAAGGCAGGUCUCUGGGCAUUAACUGACGCUGAGGAGCGAAAGCAUGGGGAGCGAACAGG